rnacentral:rRNA from 1 species
UGCUAGUCGUGCGCUUCCUAGCCACGCUGGAGGCGCGGCACACAGCUCAGUAGCACGUGGCUAACCUGCCCUUGGGACGGGAACAACCCCGGGAAACUGGGGCCGAUUCCCGAUAGGUGAAGAUUCCUGGAAUGGAUUUUCGCCGAAAAGACAUUUGGGGCAUGCUUCUAAGCGUUGCCCAAGGAUGGGGCCGCGGCCGAUCAGGUUGUUGGUGAGGUAAUGGCUCACCAAGCCUUUAACCGGUUCGGGCCGUGGGAGCGGUAGCCCGGAGAUGGGCACUGAGACAAGGGCCCAGGCCCUACGGGGCGCAGCAGUCGCGAAAACUUCGCAAUAAGCGAAAGCUUGACGGGGCCAUCCCGAGUGCCAUCUGCUGAGGAUGGCUUUUACCCAGUGUAGAUAGCCGGGCGAAUAAGCGGGGGGCA